GACAGAGGGUGCAAGCGUUGUUCGGAAUUACUGGGCGUAAAGCGCGUGUAGGCUGCUCGGUAAGUCGGAUGUGAAAGCCCUGGGCUCAACCUAGGAAGUGCAUUCGAAACUUCCAAGCUGGAGUGCUGGAGAGGAAGGCGGAAUUCUCGGUGUAGAGGUGAAAUUCGUAGAUAUCGAGAGGAACACCGGUGGCGAAGGCGGCCUUCUGGACAGUAACUGACGCUGAGACGCGAAAGCGUGGGGAGCAAACAGG
rnacentral:rRNA from 1 species